rnacentral:rRNA from 1 species
CGAGUAGUUGCUCCUGCGACAGACGACGCUGGCGGCGUGCUUAGCACAUGCAAGUCGAACGAGAAAGGCUCUUCGGAGCCGAGUACAGUGGCGAACGGGUGAGUAACACGUGGGCAACCCUGCCCCAAGGAGCGGGACAACCCGAGGAAACUCGGGCUAAUACCGCAUGAUUCGCAGAGCCUCAAGGCCCUGCGGGAAAUGGUAGCUUCGGCCUCCGCCUUGGGAUGGGCCCGCGGCGCAUUAGCUUGUUGGUGAGGUAACGGCCCACCAAGGCGACGAUGCGUAGCUGGUCUGAGAGGACGAUCAGCCACACUGGGACUGAGACACGGCCCAGACUCCUACGGGAGGCAGCAGUGGGGAAUCUUGCGCAAUGGGCGGAAGCCUGACGCAGCAACGCCGCGUGUGGGAAGACGGCCUUCGGGUUGUAAACCACUUUCAGGGGGGACGAAGCUUCCGAGGCUAAUAGCCUACGGGGUGACGGUACCCCCCAGAAGAAGCCCCGGCUAACUACGUG